GACUACUUCACUCUGCUUUGUUUUUAAACCAGAUGGAAAGCCUUGUACAUAGGCCUUUUAGGCUUAUGGCUUAAUGUGUUAAUUAGCCUUUAUGUGGCGACCCCUUCCUCUAAAGGAGAGGGUUCACUGCAUGUAUGCAAAAUAAUGCCAUAUAGUUUUUAGGGUAUCAACUCUUUAUGUCUAACUCUCAACUCUUUUUUGAAUUUUUUUCUGCUGUCGGAUUUCCAUCAGCUGGUCAUCAUCUGGAAUGGUAACCUCAACCCUGGAAAUGGCUAUUAAUUAAUUAAAACAGAUGCUAUCUAGUGGCUGCAUCACAAACUGGAUUGCUGCAAGAUUUUUGGCAACAACUACAAUUAAAUUGCUAAUCUUCCAAAACCUUGGCAUGUCAUCAUCAUCAUAACCACUAUGUUGAUGGCAUUGCAUCUGUAUUUAUGUACCGGUACAUAAUUUUUAUUCUGUCUAAAAGUUGAAAGCCAGGGGCCGGUUGUAUCAAGGAUAUUUAGCUCAACUAUCAAACAAAUCCAUGAACUAUAGACUACAAUCAAACUAAUAUUUUCUGUCCAAACAUAACAACCAUGCAUUGAACUACACAUUUCGUUGAUAAAAUUGAAGUUCAAUUUUUUACAAAAUGAAUAGGAAUGUUUUGAAAUUUGUGCUUAUCCACCGUUUAAGCUAAACGCCUUUGAAACAACCGGCUCCUGGUUAUCCUAACCCAUUGAGUGGCGAUGCACCCUGAUGCACCCUACUUUAGUAUUUUACUCUGCCUAACGCCAGACAAUUUUACUCGUCAAGGGGAGAGCGCUGGCGCUUAAUGGCUUAACCCGCCUAUCUGCCCAUAUGUCUAGUUAACCUAUUCAGUGGCGAUGCUCCCUGAUGCACCCUACUUUAGCAUUUUACUCUGUCUAACGCCAGACGAUUUUACUCGUCAAGGGGAGAGCGCUGGCGCUUAAUGGCCGGGUUAACUAGCUAGCCUAUCUGCCCAUGUGUCUAGUUAACCCAUUGAGUGGCG